CCUACGGGUGACAGCAGUGGGGAAUAUUGGGCAAUGGACGCAAGUCUGACCCAGCAACGCCGCGUGAAGGAAGAAGGCUUUCGGGUUGUAAACUUCUUUUAAGGGGGAAGAGCAGAAGACGGUACCCCUUGAAUAAGCCACGGCUAACUACGUGCCAGCAGCCGCGGUAAUACGUAGGUGGCAAGCGUUGUCCGGAUUUACUGGGUGUAAAGGGCGUGCAGCCGGGAAGACAAGUCAGAUGUGAAAUCCCGCGGCUCAACCGCGGAACUGCAUUUGAAACUGGCAGUCUCGAGUUGGAGAGAAGUAUGCGGAAUGCGCGGUGUAGCGGUGAAAUGCAUAGAUAUCGCGCAGAACUCCGAUUGCGAAGGCAGCAUGCCGGCUCCACACUGACGCUGAGGCACGAAAGCGUGGGUAUCGAACAGGAUUAGAUACCCCAGUAGUC
rnacentral:rRNA from 1 species